rnacentral:lncRNA from 1 species
CAAAGCUAACUGGGACCCUUGGUGACCCAAGGUAACUCGGGGUGACAUUUCAUUUUGCUGGAAGAAGAAUAUGUGUUUAACACCAGGAGUCCACUGGGCAUGGUGUCAUGUGCCUAUAAUCCCAGCUACUCAGGAGGCUGAGGCAGGAGGAUUGCUUGAGACCAGGAGUUUGAGGCCAGCCUGCACAAUAUAGCAAGACCCCGUCUCAACAACAACAACAACAACAACAACA